AGUGAGGAAAGGUGUGACUAGUGACAGAGUGAGGGAGGGGUGACUAGUGACAGAGUGAGGGAGGGAAGGGGGUGACUAGUGACAGUCACCACCUCCUUCACUCUGUCACUGUGUCACUAGUCACCCUCUCUCUCACUGUGUCACUAGUCACCCUCUCUCUCACUAUGUCACUAGUCACCCCCUCCCUCACU